UUACAAAAUAACGUAAAAUGCUUAGGGCGUAUAAUAGCGCGCCACUUUAAUAAUUCAAAACAAGAUCACAGAAGAAAGACUGGAAAGAGUUAUGCCAACAUGCAGAUAAUGGUUAUCUCUACGUAGUAAAUUAAAGGGUGUUCUUGGGCAGCCCGGGUGGCUCAGCGGUUUAGCGUCGCCUUCAGCCCAGGGCCUGAUCCUGGGAAUCCAGGAUCGAGUCCCACGUAGGCCUCCCUGCAUGGAGCCUGCUUCUCCCUCUGCCUGUGUCUCUGUGUCUCUCACAAAUAAGUAAAUUUUAAAAAUCUUUAAAAAAUAAUAGAAAUAAAAAAUAAAGGAUAUUCUUAUGUCUUUUCUCUCUUGAGAAUCUCUAAGAUAGCCAGUCAUUUUCUAAUCAGCAAAUACCAUAUAUUUUAAUCUUUUUUUUUUUUAAUAGGACAGUCUCAAAGCUGGUAGCAUUGGUCUCCAAAAAGAACACAUUGAUGCUGAGAAGACCAAAAACUUUUCUAAGCUGACUCCCAGGUGGAGGAAGUCAGGUUGUGGGCUCUCUUCAUCCCACCAGGAGCCAACAUUUGUUGAUCACAGAUGAAUCCAUGCAACCCACCCAGAGUGAUGCUUUGAUUCUCUUCAGCAAAGACUGGGCCGAGAAAAAAAUAAAAAGUCCCGGUAGCAAUUCGGUGGGCCUAAGCACAUGCACUGAGAAGAGAGUCAAAAAGGAAGAUUUUCACAACGAAUUAUCAUUCAAGUCCUCUCAGACCUGUAGUCUCGUAUAUGGCUACAGGAGGUGGCCCUAGAUUUCUUAUAAACCCUUCCAAAAGAAUCUUCCUCUGGAACAUCAUAGGGAACAGAAGCAGUUUGUCACAAAUAGAUUUCCGACAUGCAGGACAUCUCAAGUUUCCUUUCAGGAGGAAGUUUUCAUUUAAAGGCAGAGUGAUCUGCUUUGUCUGUAAAAUUAAAAAAAAAAAUGAGUUGAAGAAAAC
rnacentral:lncRNA from 1 species